CUCAUGUAGUAGGGUCAUGUACCAUGGUACCUUCCACCCUGUGUUCUCAGCCAUGGUGGUACUGGUGAAGUUAGACUUGUUCUGAUGUCCCUCUCUAGCUGCUCCGGGGUCAUCGCCAUGUAAAGUCCAAAGACGAAAAAUAACCCUGAAGGAAGGAGAGAUGACUAGAAAGAAUCCGGUUGACCGCUUUAUGUGUGGAUUAAUUGUUGGAGUAGAGGACCUUGUGCAUUUCAGGUAAAAUAACAACUCAAUGUUUAUAUCCCAGGACAAAUAAGCUAGCUAAAUUGCCAUAAAUGUUUAAUGCUUUUCGACCUGUCCCCAAAUUAAUAUAAUUGGUUGAGAGUUUGUUUUGAUAUUUCGUGUCAUGAUCGCGUUUGGAGUGAGGGGACAAAAUCAAUUUGCGCACGAUGGCGGAUGCACUCGCGCGUCUGGUUUGGGCAUGGUGUAAUGGUUGUUUAAAUCUAAAAUUAGCUUGACGCGUUUUCGGUUAUCCUACAGACUCAGCGCAUUGCUACAUGGUACUUGAAGGAGAAUUGGAGGUUAAUAAUUUAUUACACUGUUUAGAUUGAGCACAUUUAAACGAAAGCUAAACUUCGUCAUGACGAUAUAAACGGAUGGAUGUGUUCCAGAUGAGGAAGGCCAUCUAUUGGCUGAUUUGGCGGCCUGGAGUGUAGGUCAUUGUUUUAUGAAAUGUGAUCCCAUAUCUCCAGUGACAAUAAUUAUGUAGCUAUGAAGUGUUCUCACACGAUUUCCUGAUUUUCACAACUUGGAAGUUACAUCAUGGGGAAAUGUUGUAUUUUACCCACUGAUAGAACAUAAACAUUCACCAAAUAAACAGGAGUUAUGUUUUUUAUUUCUGGGGGUGGAUUAUCCCUUUAAACUGUAUAGUGGUUAAUCAGUAGCCUUGCCUCAACCUAGUCAAAAUGCGAACCAAGGCAGGGUAAAAGAUGCAUUAUUUGUGUAUGUAGAAAUAAGUAACAAACAAGGACAUAUUUUAAUCUUGAUGAAUGACUAUUUGUAAUUUUACGACAAGCUAAGAUGUUCUUUCCCUUUAGUUUACAAUGUCUGUUCUGCCUCUAGUGACUCAGCUGCCUUCUGAUGUUUAUUAAGUCUGCUAAACUCACUCCAAUUUUCACUGUUAUUGAAAUAUGAAAAACUAUGGCCUUGUCAUUAUUAAUUCAUGUUUGCUUGUUGGUAACUUAGACAGGCAAGGGCCUCCAAGUGGCGCAGCGUCUAAAAAUGCUGACCAGACCGCACGCGCGCAUCUGAGUGCACCAUCGCCCGCAUGUUGAUUUUGUCCCCCCACACCAGAGAUCAGGACAGCAGGUUGAUUUUGUCCCCCCACACCAGAGAUCAAAACACACAGGUUGAUUUUGUCCCCCCACACCAGAGAUCAAAACACGCAGGUUGAUUUUGUCCCCCCACACCAGAGAUCAGAACACGCAGGUUGAUUUUGUCCCCCCCACACCAGAGAUCAGAACAGCAGGUUGAUUUUGUCCCCCCACACCAGAGAUCAAAACACACAGGUUGAUUUUGUCCCCCCCACACCAGAGAUCAAAACACGCAGGUUGAUUUUGUCCCCCCACACCAGAGAUCAGAACACACAGGUUGAUUUUGUCCCCCCCACACCAGAGAUCAAAACACACAG
rnacentral:lncRNA from 1 species